rnacentral:rRNA from 1 species
AAGUGAAGCGGUAAAAGCUCAAAUUUGAAAUCUGGUACUUUCAGUGCCCGAGUUGUAAUUUGUAGAAUUUGUCUUUGAUUAGGUCCUUGUCUAUGUUCCUUGGAACAGGACGUCAUAGAGGGUGAGAAUCCCGUUUGGCGAGGAUACCUUUUCUUUGUAAGACUUUUUCGAAGAGUCGAGUUGUUUGGGAAUGCAGCUCAAAGUGGGUGGUAAAUUCCAUCUAAAGCUAAAUAUUGGCGAGAGACCGAUAGCGAACAAGUACAGUGAUGGAAAGAUGAAAAGAACUUUGAAAAGAGAGUGAAAAAGUACGUGAAAUUGUUGAAAGGGAAGGGCAUUUGAUCAGACAUGGUGUUUUUUGCAUGCACUCGCCUCUCGUGGGCUUGGGCCUCUCAAAAAUUUCACUGGGCCAACAUCAAUUUUGGCAGCAGGAUAAAUCAUUAAGAAUGUAGCUACUUCGGUAGUGUUAUAGCUUUUUGGAAUACUGUUAGCCGGGAUUGAGGACUGCGCU